UGAGUGAUGACUAACGUUCUUCACUUUGACCUGAUUGUGAAGUGGUGAUAAGCUUGAGUCUGACA
ensembl:snoRNA small nucleolar RNA SNORD37